rnacentral:rRNA from 1 species
CGUGAGAAUCUGCCUAUAGGUUCGGGACAACAGCUGGAAACGGCUGCUAAUACCGGAUGUGCCGAGAGGUAAAAGACUUGUUGCCUAUAGAUGAGCUCGCGUCCGAUUAGCUAGUUGGUAAGGUAAGAGCUUACCAAGGCGAUGAUCGGUAGCUGGUCUGAGAGGAUGAUCAGCCACACUGGGACUGAGACACGGCCCAGACUCCUACGGGAGGCAGCAGUGGGGAAUUUUCCGCAAUGGGCGAAAGCCUGACGGAGCAAUACCGCGUGAGGGAGGAAGGCUUUUGGGUCGUAAACCUCUUUUGUCAGGGAAGAACACAAUGACGGUACCUGACGAAUCAGCAUCGGCUAACUCCGUGCCAGCAGCCGCGGUAAUACGGAGGAUGCAAGCGUUAUCCGGAAUUAUUGGGCGUAAAGCGUCCGCAGGUGGUUAAUCAAGUCUGCUGUUAAAGCGUCCAGCUUAACUGGAUAUAGGCAGUGGAAACUGGUUGACUAGAGUUUGGUAGGGGUCACGGGAAUUCCCAGUGUAGCGGUGAAAUGCGUAGAUAUUGGGAAGAACACCAGCGGCGAAAGCGCGUGACUGGGCCUGAACUGACACUCAUGGACGAAAGCUAGGGGAGCGAAAGG